UACGUAGGGCGCAAGCGUUAUCCGGAAUUAUUGGGCGUAAAGAGCUCGUAGGCGGUUUGUCGCGUCUGCCGUGAAAGUCCGGGCUCAACUCCGGAUCUGCGGUGGGUACGGGCAGACUAGAGUGAUGUAGGGGAGACUGGAAUUCCUGGUGUAGCGGUGAAAUGCGCAGAUAUCAGGAGGAACACCGAUGGCGAAGGCAGGUCGUCUGGGCAUUAACUGACGCUGAGGAGCGAAAGCGUGGGGAGCGAACAGG
rnacentral:rRNA from 1 species